rnacentral:rRNA from 1 species
GCAGUCGCCACGGGAAUACAGAGGGUGCGAGCGUUAAUCGGAUUUACUGGGCGUAAAGCGUGCGUAGGCGGCUUUUUAAGUCGGAUGUGAAAUCCCUGAGCUUAACUUAGGAAUUGCAUUCGAUACUGGGAAGCUAGAGUAUGGGAGAGGAUGGUAGAAUUCCAGGUGUAGCGGUGAAAUGCGUAGAGAUCUGGAGGAAUACCGAUGGCGAAGGCAGCCAUCUGGCCUAAUACUGACGCUGAGGUACGAAAGCAUGGGGAGCAAACAGGAUUAGAUACCCCCGUAGUCCCUGUCUCUUAUAC